rnacentral:rRNA from 1 species
AAUACGUUCCCGGGCCUUGUACACACCGCCCGUCACACCACGAAAGUCGGCAACACCCGAAGCCGGUGGCCCAACCCUUUUGGAGGGAGCCGUCGAAGGUGGGGUCGGCGAUUGGGGUG